rnacentral:rRNA from 1 species
UAGGGAAUCUUCCGCAAUGGACGCAAGUCUGACGGAGCAACGCCGCGUGAGUGAAGAAGGAUUUCGGUUCGUAAAACUCUGUUGUUAGAGAAGAACAGCGCAUAGAGUAACUGUUAUGCGUGUGACGGUAUCUAACCAGAAAGCCACGGCUAACUACGUGCCAGCAGCCGCGGUAAUACGUAGGUGGCAAGCGUUGUCCGGAUUUAUUGGGCGUAAAGCGAGCGCAGGCGGUCAAUUAAGUCUGAUGUGAAAGCCCCCGGCUCAACCGGGGAGGGUCAUUGGAAACUGGUUGACUUGAGUGCAGAAGAGGGGAGUAGAAUUCCAUGUGUAGCGGUGAAAUGCGUAGAUAUAUGGAGGAACACCAGUGGCGAAGGCGACUCUCUGGUCUGUAACUGACGCUGAGGCUCGAAAGCGUGGGUAGCAAACAGG